GACGAACGCUGGCGGCGUGCUUAACACAUGCAAGUCGAACGGAAAGGCCUCUUUCGGGGGGUACUCGAGUGACGAACGGGUGAGUAACACGUGAGUAACCUGCCCUUGACUUUGGGAUAACUUCAGGAAACUGGGGCUAAUACCGGAUAGGAGCUCCUGCUGCAUGGUGGGGGUUGGAAAGUUUCGGCGGUUGGGGAUGGACUCGCGGCUUAUCAGCUUGUUGGUGGGGUAGUGGCUUACCAAGGCUUUGACGGGUAGCCGGCCUGAGAGGGUGACCGGCCACAUUGGGACUGAGAUACGGCCCAGACUCCUACGGGAGGCAGCAGUGGGGAAUAUUGCACAAUGGGUGGAAGCCUGAUGCAGCAACGCCGGGUGCGGGAUGACGGCCUUCGGGUUGUAAACCGCUUUCGCUCAUGACGAAGCUUUGUGUGACGGUAGUGGGUAAAGAAGCACCGGCUAACUACGUG
rnacentral:rRNA from 1 species